GGGAAUAUUGGGCAAUGGGCGCAAGCCUGACCCAGCGACGCCGCGUGAGGGAAGACGGUCUUCGGAUUGUAAACCUCUUUCAGCAGGGAAGACAAAAGGACGGUACCUGCAGAAGAAGCUCCGGCUAACUACGUGCCAGCAGCCGCGGUAAUACGUAGGGGGCGAGCGUUAUCCGGAUUUAUUGGGUUUAAAGGGUGCGUAGGCGGUCCGGAAAGUCAGCGGUAAAAGCCCGGGGCUCAACCCCGGCGAGCCGUUGAAACUGUCGGACUAGAGACGGCGAGAAGUACGCGGAAUGCGCGGUGUAGCGGUGAAAUGCAUAGAUAUCGCGCAGAACUCCGAUUGCGAAGGCAGCGUACCGGCGCCGGCCUGACGCUGAGGCACGAAAGCGUGGGUAUCGAACAG
rnacentral:rRNA from 1 species